CGCACCUUGCGCCUUUUGGUAUUCCGAAAGGCAUGCCUGUUUGAGUGUCAUGAACUCUCAAUCCCCUCGGGUUUCCGAUCGGAUUGGACUUGGGUGUUGCCGUCUGGCUCACCUCAAAUGACUUAGCGGAUGUCUCCUCUAGUCGAUGUAAUAAGUUUCAUCGGUGAAGGGUCUAGUCUGCUCACAAUCGCCUUUGCUGGCAACAUUUUGUACUCUGACCUCAAAUCAGGUAGGGCUACCCGCUGAACUUAA
rnacentral:misc_RNA from 1 species